UCUACUGUAAAGUCUCGUUUUUCAUAAUGGUUAUGCAAUAAAUAUCACCAAGCACUGAACUUUCUAUUGUGAUUAUGACAUGUGGUUUGAAGUUUGGGGUUCUCUCAUGUUUGUGUUCUAGAGUGCAGUGAAGUAUGCAUAUAAUGUUUCUCUUAUCAUCUGUGAAACUGAUCAAGUUAUGCGCCGCAUUUUCUGUAUUCCUAAUGGAGUUGAACUUAAAUGUGUUGUUGGUUGUGAACUGUGAUUUCCUAAUGUAUGAAGCAUGCUCUGUUGGGUGUGAGAUGUAUAUACGAGAGUAGUGAACUGUAAA
rnacentral:lncRNA from 1 species